rnacentral:rRNA from 1 species
UACGUAGGGGGGCGAGCGUUGUCCGGAGUUACUGGGCGUAAAGGGCACGCAGGCGGUGCGGCGCGUUUCGCGUGACAGCGGAGGGCUUAACUCUCCGAGGAUGCGAAAGACGGCGGCACUUGAGGGCCAGAGAGGGACACGGAAUUCCGGGUGGAGUGGUGAAAUGCGUAGAGAUCUGGAGGAACACCGAAGGCGAAGGCAGUGUCCUGGCUGGUGACUGACGCUGAGGUGCGAAAGCUAGGGAGCGAACGGG